rnacentral:rRNA from 1 species
AGAGUUUGAUCAUGGCUCAGGACGAACGCUGGCGGCGUGCUUAACACAUGCAAGUCGAGCGAUGAAACACCUUCGGGUGUGAAUUAGCGGCGAACGGGUGAGGAACACGUGAAGAAUCUGCCUUCAACUCUGGGAUAACUCCGGGAAACCGGGGCUAAUACCGGAUAUGAGCCUCGAUCGCAUGAUUGGGGCUGGAAAGUUUUUCGGUUGAAGAUGACUUCGCGGCCUAUCAGCUUGUUGGUGAGGUAAUGGCUCACCAAGGCGACGACGGGUAGCCGGCCUGAGAGGGCGACCGGCCACACUGGGACUGAGACACGGCCCAGACUCCUACGGGAGGCAGCAGUGGGGAAUAUUGGGCAAUGGAGGAAACUCUGACCCAGCGACGCCGCGUGAGGGAUGAAGGCCUUCGGGUUGUAAACCUCUUUCAGUAGGGAAGAAGCGAAAGUGACGGUACCUACAGAAGAAGCACCGGCUAACUAUGUGCCAGCAGCCGCGGUAAUACAUAGGGUGCAAGCGUUGUCCGGAAUUAUUGGGCGUAAAGAGCUCGUAGGUGGUUCGAUACGUCGGAUGUGAAAAUCAGGGGCUCAACCCCUGACCUGCAUCCGAUACGGUCGAGCUAGAGUUUGGUAGGGGAGACUGGAAUUCCUGGUGUAGCGGUGGAAUGCGCAGAUAUCAGGAGGAACACCGAUGGCGAAGGCAGGUCUCUGGGCCAAUACUGACACUGAGGAGCGAAAGCGUGGGGAGCGAACAGGAUUAGAUACCCUGGUAGUCCACGCCGUAAACGG